AUUUGUAAUACACGUUGUUCUU
rnacentral:miRNA from 1 species